rnacentral:lncRNA from 1 species
GAUUCUCCUGGUGCCGGCGGUGAGAGGAGAAAAGGCUCCUAGAUGGGUUAGUACCAAAAAGGUAGAUCUAGGAUUUUGAAACCCUAAAGAGGAAAAAUUGAAUUUGAGCCCUAAAAUUAGGAAAAGGCUCUAAUACCAUGAAGAAUUUUGGGAAAAUUUAUAGUAUUAUUGUAUUUCACUCUUAAUCUUUACAAUUGGUCUACAUGACUAUUUAUACACAAAGAAUUAUAUUUAAACAGGAAGCAAAUAAUCAAAUAAUAAUUACAGAGAUAAUUAAGGAUCCUAAUCAAAUCAAAUCAUAUCCCUAGAAUCAGCUAGGAUCAGUAAAUAAGUCAACAAAU